CAGUCGCCACGGUAAAACGUAGGGCGCAAGCGUUGUCCGGAAUUAUUGGGCGUAAAGAGCUCGUAGGCGGUCUGUCGCGUCUGGUGUGAAAUCCCGAGGCUCAACCUCGGGCUUGCAUCGGGUACGGGCAGACUAGAGUGCGGUAGGGGAGACUGGAAUUCCUGGUGUAGCGGUGGAAUGCGCAGAUAUCAGGAGGAACACCGAUGGCGAAGGCAGGUCUCUGGGCCGCAACUGACGCUGAGGAGCGAAAGCAUGGGGAGCGAACAGGAUUAGAUACCCCAGUAGUCCCUGUCUCUUAUAC
rnacentral:rRNA from 1 species